rnacentral:lncRNA from 1 species
AACUACCAGAAAGGGAAGAAACUAAAAGGACAGGUCUACAGCUUGGGAACACUUGGUGCGUGGCCCCGCCUACAUAGGAAGGCAUGUUGGGAAUCCGUUGAGGUCUUGUCUCUGCUCCUGAAGAGCUCACUGGUAUCCUUUUUGGGACUUUCUUCUUGUGAGGCUUCCGCAGUGGAGACCGUCUUUUCUGUAACUCCUGGGGAGCGAGAAGAUCCCGGUGGACCAGUUGCGGGUGCACAAGAGGAAGUCUCCCCACCUUGGGGCUCCCACCCCCUGAGGGACCACAGUCUGGCCCAAGCAGAGACCCUGGAGCCAGAGGGAAUGGCCCCCGGGACCCAGAGGCGCCCUUCCCAGGAGACCAGAAGAAAAGUCCGUUGGGGCAAGAUGGAGUCUUCCCAGAUCCUCCUUCCAGACUCCCAUGUGACCCUUGGUCACAUGUCACUGUCCAUCAUACCUAGGUUUGCACUUUUCAGUUUUUGCAGUUUUGCAAAUUGCAAACCUUUCCAUCCUUUAUCACACAACUGUGUUCUGGGGGGUUUCCAGGGCCUCUACAUGUAG